AAAUUGAAGAGUUUGAUCAUGGCUCAGAUUGAACGCUGGCGGCAGGCCUAACACAUGCAAGUCGAGCGGAAACGAGUUAUCWGAACCUUCGGGGRACGAUAACGGCGUCGAGCGGCGGACGGGUGAGUAAUGCCUAGGAAAUUGCCCUGAUGUGGGGGAUAACCAUUGGAAACGAUGGCUAAUACCGCAUGAUGCCUACGGGCCAAAGAGGGGGACCUUCGGGCCUCUCGCRUCAGGAUAUGCCUAGGUGGGAUUAGCUAGUUGGUGAGGUAAGGGCUCACCAAGGCGACGAUCCCUAGCUGGUCUGAGAGGAUGAUCAGCCACACUGGAACUGAGACACGGUCCAGACUCCUACGGGAGGCAGCAGUGGGGAAUAUUGCACAAUGGGCGCAAGCCUGAUGCAGCCAUGCCGCGUGUGUGAAGAAGGCCUUCGGGUUGUAAAGCACUUUCAGUCGUGAGGAAGGUAGUGUAGUUAAUAGCUGCAUUAUUUGACGUUAGCGACAGAAGAAGCACCGGCUAACUCCGUGCCAGCAGCCGCGGUAAUACGGAGGGUGCGAGCGUUAAUCGGAAUUACUGGGCGUAAAGCGCAUGCAGGUGGUUUGUUAAGUCAGAUGUGAAAGCCCGGGGCUCAACCUCGGAAUUGCAUUUGAAACUGGCAGACUAGAGUACUGUAGAGGGGGGUAGAAUUUCAGGUGUAGCGGUGAAAUGCGUAGAGAUCUGAAGGAAUACCGGUGG
rnacentral:rRNA from 1 species